rnacentral:rRNA from 2 species
UGGGGAAUUUUCCGCAAUGGGCGAAAGCCUGACGGAGUGACGCCGCGUGGGGGACGAAGGCCUUCGGGUUGUAAACCCCUGUCAGAGGGAAAGAAGGAGGUCGGCGUGAAUAGCGCCGGCCUUUGACGGUACCUUCAGAGGAAGCCCCGGCCAACUCUGUGCCAGCAGCCGCGGUAAGACAGAGGGGGCAAGCGUUGCUCGGAAUUACUGGGCGUAAAGGGCGCGUAGGCGGGAUGGCAAGUCGGUCGUGAAAUCCCUUGGCUCAACUGAGGGGAGUCGGCCGAUACUGCUGUUCUUGAGGGAUGCAGAGGAGACUGGAAUUCCCGGUGUAGCGGUGAAAUGUGUAGAGAUCGGGAGGAACACCGGUGGCGAAGGCGGGUCUCUGGGCAUCUCCUGACGCUGAGGCGCGAAAGCGUGGGGAGCAAACGGG